AUUGAACGCUGGCGGCAGGCCUAACACAUGCAAGUCGAGCGGAGCGGCGGACGGGGGAGUAAUGCCUAGGAAUCUGCCUGUUAGUGGGGGAGAACGUCCGGAAACGGGCGCUAAUACCGCAUACUAUCAGAUUAGCCUAGGGCGGAUUAGCUAGUUGGUGGGGUAAAGGCCUAACAAGGCGACGAUCCGGAACUGGGCUGAGAGGAUGAUCAGUCAAACUGGGACUGAGACACGGUCCAGACUCCUACGGGAGGCAGCAGUGGGGAAUAUUGGACAAUGGGCGAAAGCCUGAUCCAGCCAUGCCGCGUGUGUGAAGAAGGUCUUCGGAUUGUAAAGCACUUUAAGUUGGGAGGCGUUACCAAAAGAAUAAGCACCGGCUAACUUCGUGCCAGCCGCCGCGGUAAUUG
rnacentral:rRNA from 1 species